UGAUUAAAGCACAGUCUGAGGAGCAGCACUGCAGCUGGAGACAGCUUGGGUCCAGCAUGAAGCCUAUUCACAGCCUCUUAUGUGUCACUGUCAUCCUGGUGCUAACUCAACUGGACAUCUCGCCAAUACCAGUUAUUGAGGCCGUAAGUACACCCCAGGGACAAACAGAUUCCAAAACUCCAACUUCCGUAUCCCAGGGACAGGCGACAGAUUCCAAGGUCUCCGCACAAACUGGAUCACCGAUAUCACCGCAAGGGAGUGCCAAGCCACCAGCAACAACCACUGAGUCCUCCAGCUCCAAUGUACUGUUCACCUCGGGAACGAACCUGCUUCUGGGACUCCUGCUGGCUUUCUGUCACCAACAACUCUUGUAGAGGAUGACAGGCGGCUCUGAGGGUCCAACGGAGGCCACAUCACGCAAAGACUACUGAAAGGUUCUGGGGCGGGGGUCCUCAGUGCUUCCAUAAAUCAGCCUGGGGAUUUUACUGUGACUUCAAUCUAGUUAGCUUUCGGGUUUCAUUGUCUUUUUGAUAUGCGCCACGUCAGUUUGAGAUCUUCCUGUGAUAAAAUGAAAAUCCAUCGAAUACUUUGUAACACAAUAUUUGAGAUUUUUUUCUAAUAGAAAUAACAAUUUAUUUCAGGGUGAAUUACAAACAAUCAUGUUGGCAGUGGCUUCUCCACCACCGCUUUAUAACAAAACCGAUGUUCAUGAGCAAUAAUUGAAUAGGUAUGAGCUUGUUCUUGUGUCAACAGCAAAUUCAAUAGAACAAUGGACGCCAAUGCGUUGCCAGAUGGACACGUCAGGCCCAAUAAAAGCUUCAACUUCCUCUGUCUAUUUCCACUGAGUUGCUGAGUUUCCCUGGAACAGACGUGUGAGAGAUUAUUGUUGUUGAAUCUCCAUCUGUAAUUGACUAAUUCUGGGCUUCCAUCAAUUGUAUCAUCUCCAGAUUCUUUUAACAAUCAUUAUGUAAGCGAUUGAAGUGAUCAAUGAGAUGCCGGAAUAAAAUGAUUGCUUUCCAUGUCA